ensembl:lncRNA
UCUUAAUUUACUCUUUAGCACUUGUAAGACAGACCACUUCAGCAAUGGACUCAUCUAAAAAAAAAAAAAAAAAACCAGACUGAGGAAGAUCAAAGGAGUCUUCAUAAGGUUUCAUAUCUAUCGGGCAGAAAGACAAAGCAAAACCACGUAGCUGUGACUUCAAAGCGGCUGCAGGAAGGUUUAGCUUACACGUGAGACGUGUUCCAGCUUUGAUGCACAAACAGUUUGUCACCGUGAGAGUCAUCAACAGACAAAGUCAUCACAAAGGUCCUCAUCCGAAGCCUCAAGCAGCAGUUUGGAUAAACCAGUCAUUUUGGCAGCACGUGGCCUUGACAGAGCUGCAGUCAUCAAAGGUAGGCCUGCAGGAAUAAACCUUUCCCGAUGUCUGUUCGGUGGUGUAGCAGCCAGUAACUGGACUAAACACUCAUCAGAUAUAAGAAAAAAAGACUUCUUCGUUAGCUGGGUCGCGGGGGGCGCUGGAGCCUAUCCCAGCUGUCAUAGGGCGAGAGGCGGGGUACACCCUGGACAGGUCGCCAGUCUGUCGCAGGGCCAACACACAGGGACAGACAACCAUUCACGCUCACAUUCACUCACACCUUCACACCUAGUGACAAUUUGGAUUAUCCAAUUAACCUAUCCCCUCAAACUGCAUGUCUUUGGACGGUGGGAGGAAGCCAGAGUACCCGGAGGGGAGAGCAUGCAAACUCCACACAGAAAGACCCCGGCCUGAUGGUGGAAUUGAACUCAGGACCUUCUUGCUGUGCGGCAACAGUGCUAACCACCGUGCCACCGUGCUGCCCCUUUUACAACUAUGCUCUAUAAAUUUCUAGUAUGGAGGGCCAGAAAUUACAAAUUGAAUUAAAUAAAUACAUCAUUAAAUAAUUUAUUAAAUGUGCCAAUAAUUAAUUAAUUACAUAUAUAAUUAAUUAAUGAAAUGUGUCAUAAAUUACUUAAAAAUUGAAAUAAAUAAAUAAAUAAUUGCAUGUGUAAUAUUCCAGAACUUUUCUCUUUAUAAUGCAGGGGUGGAGGAACUCCAGGCCUCAAGGGCAGGUGUCCUGCAGGCUUUAGAUGUGUCCUGAUUUAUAUGGCUAAAUUACAUCCUCAACAUGUCUUGAAGUUCUCUAGAGGCCUGGUAAUAAACUAAUCAUUUGUUUCAGGUGUGUUGACCCAGGGUGAUAUCUAAAACCUGCAUAACACUAGCCCUUAAGGACUGCUCGAGUUCCCCACCUCUGGAUUCACUUUAUUUCAACAUGUAAGUUCAGGUUCUAUCACUAGAGGGCGCCAGAUUAUCAUUUUAUAACACUCCUUGGUCCUGCCAACCUGCAUUUAGGAAGCACAAGUAAUUCUUUGCAUGUGUAAAAUUACUUCCGAAAUAUUGUAUUAAUUCUGAUUAUUGACCGAUUCUAAUGUUCAAUUUCAACUUUAAAUUGAAUGUAAAUUGUAUGCGACACGUUGAGUUGGACUAAAUGUUAUGAUACUAUAUGUUUACUAUACACGCAUUCGGAUAUAAAGCUGUUGCCUUGAUGACAGUUUGUAGUGCAGUGUGUGGGGUUAAAAAUCAAUAGGAUAACUCAUCAUCUUUUUGAUUGCCUAACCAUGCUUUAUUGGUUUUGGAAAUGGGCUUUGUGCAAUGACUCUAGAUAAGUUCGCAACCUUUUUUGUGCCACGGACCGGUUUACGUCCGACAAUAUUUUCACGGACCGGCCUUUAAGGUGUUGCGGAUAAAUACAACAAAAUAAAACCAGUACCGGUACCAAAAAAAAGAAGAUUUAUUCAUAACACACAGGAAAAGACCCAGGAAAACCGAGUUAACGAUAACAAUGAUUUUUUUUUUUUUUUAAAUAACGCUAAAAACCGACAAAAAGCCUGAAAAUCAUACAUUUUACACCUGAGCCUCAACUCUCGCGGCCCGGUACCAAACGACUCACGGACCGGUACCGGUCUGUGGCACGGGGGUUGGGAACAACUGCUCUAGAAUAUAACCUACACAUAGUUUGAGCUUCAUACAUGAAAUUUGGUAAACAAAUGCCAAUGUACAAAAAAAUCCCAAGGCCCCGUGAUUUUAAAUUAAUAUAUGAUCUAAACUUGAGUGGGUGACUUGAGUGAAUCUAAAUUGGGAAAGUUUUGUGUUUUUAUUGAAGGCUGUGUCCAUGGCACAGUGUCAAAUUUUGAUCAUUCAGCCAUUAAAUUUUUUAGUUGCUAUCAUUCACAUGUACAUUAUCCAAUCAGGCCCAAACUUCAUAGUAGUGUGAUAACGGACCGC